GUGCGCCAGGUGCGCCAGGUGCGCCAGGGCUCCCCCCCACCCACGGGGACGGACACGGCCAGGUGAGCCCCUGCUGCCCCCGGAACAGCCGGGAACGGCCGGAGAGAGCAGCGCGGACCAGCACGGACCAGUAUAGACCAGUAUGGACCAGUACGGACCAGUACAGACCAGUACGGACCAGUAUAGACCAGUAUAGACCAGUAUGGACCAGUAUGGACCAGUAAAAACAUAAUAAAACCAGUAUAAAUCAGUGUGGACCAGUAUGGACCAGUACGGACCAGUACGGAGCACAAUAAACUCAAUAAAACCAGUAUAAACCA